GGCAAGAGAUGGUGAAGUGAGACUUGAGAAGAAUGUCUAAGAAUUGAAGUGGCUGUUCGGGGGAAUGGGGUGAGGAGCUAAGGAUUCCUGGAAGGACUGUGCCUGAGGAGGAAGAAGGAAGUAUCUGUCCCCUUCAGCUCCCAUACUGGUGGUGAAUCUCCACCUCCCAGCAGAAUCUCAUUACAGAAAUUCUCCAUAAUUAGAAAAGGUAUAAUGAGGACAACACUGGUUGUACAUGUUGAGGAGGUCAGAGCCUCUGUCUCCCUGGGUCCUAAACUGGUGAACUAGAGCAGACUCUUCCCACAUCAGCCACACUACCAGUUGGACUUGAUAUGAAUGAGAGAUAAACAUUAUGGUAAGUCACUGAGAUUUGGGGGUUUAUUCGUUAAUGCAUCCUAUGUUACCUUAACUAACACAUGAU
rnacentral:lncRNA from 13 species